GCCAUUAUAUUUUACUUGUUUGGAUACCAUCCGAUCACCAUUGUGUGCUGCCACCACUUGUAGCCUGCAGUAGUUAUUACCGCUUCUACUGGGAACUUGCGCCAUCCGCUGCACCCUCAUGCCUUUGUGCAGCAGAGACCUUUUCGGUGUGUUGCGCGGUCGCUGCAACGAGCCGGGUUGUGAGUGCAAGCGAUACACCAUUCUGCGCCUGUCGGAAAGUGACAACCUGGUGAGGUGUGACUAUUGUGACCACGUCCCAAAUGCACACGGAAAAAUAUGUGAUCUCGAAACGAAAAAUGCAGCCGAGGCAAAGGUGCAAUGCAAUGUGCCAGGCACCGUUGUUCGAGGCCUCAGUGUCACAUGAAACUGUGGAAGCUUGCACAUCUAGUCUCCUCAGUGCAAUAUGAGAGGACUGUCCCAGUUGGUGCCUCCAUAGAAAAUGAAUCGGCCUGAAUGCCUGUGCAAGAAUCACAACCUGGCUGCUCUAAAGACUCCGCACCGUAGUCCCAUGUGCAAGAGCCCCCACUUGACAGCCCAGUGGUUGCCAUGGACAAAGAGAUCCGCGAUACUGAAUGCGGCCAAGCAGUACAAGUUUUUACAUGGACAGUUAACACGAAGUUAUUGACGACAUGCAUGGCUGAAACACGGUGAUAUGAUUUUAAAAAUUCCUGUGUUAUGAUGCAAGUGAUAGUAUUCUGUUGAAUUUUCAGAUCUAGUCAUGUGCCAGCAAGGCCUGCUGUACUUCUGGUGUAUUCUAUGUUGUAUUUUCAAAUAAAGAUGUUGCAUUCUGAAGUUAACCUUA